AGCGAACGCUGGCGGCAGGCCUAACACAUGCAAGUCGAACGAAUUCUUCGGAGUUAGUGGCGGACGGGUGAGUAACACGUGGGAACGUGCCUUUAGGUUCGGAAUAACUCAGGGAAACUUGUGCUAAUACCGAAUGUGCCCUUCGGGGGAAAGAUUUAUCGCCUUUAGAGCGGCCCGCGUCUGAUUAGCUAGUUGGUGAGGUAAAGGCUCACCAAGGCGACGAUCAGUAGCUGGUCUGAGAGGAUGAUCAGCCACAUUGGGACUGAGACACGGCCCAAACUCCUACGGGAGGCAGCAGUGGGGAAUCUUGCGCAAUGGGCGAAAGCCUGACGCAGCCAUGCCGCGUGAAUGAUGAAGGUCUUAGGAUUGUAAAAUUCUUUCACCGGGGACGAUAAUGACGGUACCCGGAGAAGAAGCCCCGGCUAACUUCGUG
rnacentral:rRNA from 1 species